CGUGCCGCGGGCCCCCGCCCGGGGCGGAGCGGGGCGGUGCCCGCCCGCCGCGGCCGGGGAGCGGCUCGGCCGCCGCCGCCCCGCAGUUCGUCCGGGUGCAGCGAGAGGCCCUUCGUGGUUCCCGCCCCUGCAGGUAUAAGCAUACAUGGCUCCUGGUGUCUCAAAUGAGAAGAAAACUGAUGAUGAACAGUCUUCAAAAGAGAAUUUUAUCCAUCUCUGCAACCCUCACCUGGAGAAAAUGAAAGAAGACAUCCUGUACCAUUUUGCACUUGGGACUGGUACCCAUGAUUUUCCAGCAUUGUUUGGAGAUGUAAAGUUUGUAUGCGUUGGAGGAAGUCCUUCACGGAUGAAAGCUUUUAUCGCCUACAUAGCUGAAGAACUGGGGCUUGGGAGCCCUGGUUGUGACUAUCCUAACAUCUGUGCGGGAACUGACCGUUACGCAAUGUACAAAGUGGGACCUGUUUUGUCAGUCAGUCAUGGUAUGGGCAUUCCUUCUAUUUCAAUCAUGUUGCACGAGCUGAUCAAACUGUUGUAUCAUGCCAAGUGUUCCAACAUAACCAUUGUUCGCAUUGGCACCUCUGGUGGAAUAGGUCUGGAGCCAGGCUCAGUGGUUAUAACUAGGCAAUCUGUAGAUGCCACCUUCAAACCUCAGUUUGAACAGGUUAUUCUGGGAAAGACUGUAAUUCGCAGUACAAACCUAGAUGAACAGCUAGCUAAGGAACUGAUGCAGUGUAGUAAAGAAAUCGGUCAGUUCAAUACAGUCAUUGGAAACACUAUGUGCACUUUGGAUUUCUAUGAAGGACAGGGCAGGUUGGAUGGUGCAAUCUGCUUAUAUAAUGAAGAAGAGAAACUGCAAUAUUUGAAGGAAGCUUAUGAUUCUGGUGUCAGAAACAUAGAGAUGGAGUCUUCCGUAUUUGCGGCAAUGUGUAAUCUCAGCGGUGUCAAAGCUGCCGUAGUGUGUGUCACUCUUCUGAAUCGGCUUGAGGGGGACCAGAUUAGUAGCUCACAUGAUGUACUUGUGGAGUAUCAGCAGAGGCCACAGAAGUUAGUGGGAUAUUUCAUUAAGAAAAGUCUUGGGAAAGUAUGAAAUAUCCACCUUUGUUUUAUAGCAGCAGAAGGCUUUUGCACAGCUGAAGUCAUGGUCAUGACUUCUGUGCAUUUAAGGUCUUUUGCCUCAGAAUACCUUACAGCAUUCCGUGUGUCUGUGGAAGCUAAUAAUUUUUGUCAGUGUCCUUUGGCAACUGAACGUGCUGAAUUCACUUUUCUGUGAUUUGGAAAGUGGAUCUGCUGUGAAGGACAAGCCUGCUAUAAUAUAUGAAAAAGCCUUAUUUAUCCCUGCUAUAAAAGGAAAACUAGGAAGAAAAUCAAACUUUAUUGCCAAAUACUUGCAAACCACCAAAUUAAAAUUAACUUAAGAGUGCUAUUCCCUUUCUUGUUGCCACAAAAAAUUAUAUAAGUUAUAUUUGUCUUUGUUGCUUCACUUGUAAAGAAAACUUAAAAGUGAAUGCAGUUUAUUUUUUGCAAACUUUGACAAAUAAACAAUACUAUUUUCAUAUAUUAAAAUUUCAUGAAAUUGCAAAGUGUGGGACUGAAUUUUCUAAGCAUUAAGGCUUGACAUUGAGCUGUUACAGAUCUAUACUUCCUAGAUAUUGAUCCAACAAGGUCAUUCAUAUCCCAUUUUAACUGUACGAUUGAAUCAAUACCCAGGAAACAUUUAUGCGUUAAGUAAUUUUGCAUUGAAGAACUUGAAAUCUUGCUGAAUCAAGGCUCCUGUUUACUGAAGAGGAACCAAAGGCGUUCAGGAGAUGCACAGCAUGUUCAUGGCACUGCAUUGUGGAGGAGGACUCCUCACUCUUCCCUUGCUCCAGCGUGGGGUCCCUCUCACGGGAGACAGUCCUUCAUGAACUUCUCCAAUGUGGGUCAUGCCCACAGGCUGCAGUUCACAAACUGCUCCAACGUGGGUCCCUUCCAUGGGGUGCAGUCCUUCAGGCACAAACUGCUCCAGCGCAGGUCCUUCCCACAGGCUGCAGUCCUUCAGGCACAGACCGCUCCAGCGUGGGUGCCCUGCGGCGUCACAAGUCUUGCCAGCAAACCUGCUCCAGCGUGGGUGCCUCUCUCCACGGGGCCACAGGUCCUGCCAGGAGCCUGCUCCAGCACGGGCUUCCCACGGGGUCACAGCCUCUAUCAGGUACCCACCUGCUCUGCCAGGGGGUCCUCCAUGGACCGCAGGUGGGUAUUUGCUCCACCGUGGACCUCCCUGGGCUGCAGGGGGACAGCCUGCCUCACCAUGGUCUUCCCCAUGGGCUGCAGGGGAAUCUCUGCUCCGGUGCCUGGAGAAUCUCCUCCCCUCCUUCUGCACUGACCUGGGGGUCUGCAGGGCUGGUUCUCUCACACGUUCUCACUCCUCUCUCCAGCUGCAGUUUCUGGGCCACCGCAACUUUUUUCUCCUUCUUAAAUAUGUUAUCCCAGAGGCACUACCACCGUCGCUGAUGGGCUCGGCCUUGGCCAGCAGCGGGUACGUCUUGGAACUGGCUGGCAUUGGCUCUGUUGGACGUAGGGGAAGCUUCCAGCAGCUUCUCACAGAAGCCACCCCUGCAACCCCCCUGCUGCCAAAACAUUGCCACACAAAUCCAAUACAGAGUCAUAGGUCAAAAGGGUCUGAAUAAACUCUCAGAACAGCUGUCACUGAUCCAGCUAAAUGAGAUUUUCUUUUCAAGGAUUGCAGUCUGCAACACUUACAAGCGUAAGAGUUAGAUCGAAGAGGGAGUGAUGUAGUAGUAGGCACAUUCACGAAGAUGUGGCAGAAACCGCAAGCAAUGUGAUGAAAACAUUAAAAAAGGAAGGCAUGAUGCUUGUGAAUAGGAAACUGCCAAUGAGGAUUAGUCUGCUUAAAUUUGAUGAAUUUUCAACUGGAAAACAGAUAAAAAUACUAGAUUUUUUAAAUUUACUGACUUAGUCUUCCUUUAAUUUUAAAAACACAUUUUCUCAUUUGUGCUGAGGAUAUACAAUGAAUCUAAGUUUUCAGAGAAAGCCUUUUUCUCCCUAAGCUUAAGGGAAGGAGUCAGGUAGGAAUGGCUCCACAUUUUGUUUGAACUGUUCCUCCCUUAUUUAAAAAAAAAAAAAAAAAGCUGUGCCUAACUAUGUCUAGUGCUUGCCUGGGCAUUGCAGAAAGCCCUGUUAGGUCCCUUGUGAAACAUGCAACAAAGCACAUCCUUGCUCUGCAACCUCCUGUUCCCAGAAGAGUGGCAAGGAGAAAAAAAGGAGAGCACUUAAGAAGCAACGUGCUGCACUCUAGGCUGAAGAAAAGCUUAUACCAAAUUGACCAGUAUGGGUUUGGAGGAGACAGUUUGCUGUUGUAAAAGAAAUACCUACUAUGAAUUACCUAAAGAGGAGACAAGAAAAAAAAACCCACCUUAUGUGGCUCUGUGAAGCUUUGGGGAAGCAUAUUACUGCAGUUGUCCUGGAGGUAUGAAUCUGAAAUGGUGUGAUUUGUCUUCUUAAAGGAAGGACGGCAAGAAUCUGGAAACUAGUUCAAAAGAGUAAGUUCUUAAAUCAUUUAACAGUGUCAGCUGUCAAUAGAAACUACAGAGCUUUUAUAUUGACAGUCAUAUAAAGUAAGCACUUCUAUUUUGAUAACUAAUAUGAAAACUCUUACGUGCUACGUGCUGAAAUAUAAUGAGCAUUGUGGCCUGGCUGAGUUGGAGCUAAGGUUCAAGCAUUCAUGGAGUGAUGCAACUAUUCCAUUAAAUCGAUACACAAGACCCCAGCACAAACCCCUGGAAGACUUUAGCCGUUCACUUUUUGCCAAUAUGUCCUUUCCCCUUCCCACCGUUCCUUAGGACGUUGUACUUUUCUUUCUGCUAAAAUAUUUUUCUUCUGUGCUUUUUUAACAGAUGGAGUAAAGGGAUGUAUGACAACUUAAAGUUAGAAUUCAAAGGAGACCAAGUAUCCUGUUUCUACUGGUCACCAUCCUGUAAUGCUGUAUUCCUAAUGCAAGAGGGUGCUCUAUAGACACGUCUUACGUGCAAUAAAAUAUUUUUUUUAGCUUCAGAGGAAACCUGCCAGAAUGUCUUACCCUGAUAAGAACAAUUGUAUUUUCCCUUGUGACUGCAACUGGACAGAGAGAUAAAGAUAUGAGUGAGCUGUGUGCAUCCGGCAGUGAAGUUACCUUCCUGUAGGUUUUACAAAGAUAGCCAUAAAGAAUUAUAAAAUAUUUAACAGCCUUUUUUAUGCAAAUCAAUUCUUUAAUAUUAGCCAUUCACAUUCUUUCUGUAGAAUACAAAUCAGGAUUUGGAGUGGUGAUAUUUUUAAAAGCAUAUAUGAUAUUACAUAUAUGUUCGAUAUUACAUAGUGCAGUGUCUCCUGGUAGAACUACAAAUCCUGCAAAGCCCCAAAACCUCGAUUUCAAAUCAAAGGCCUGCUUUUGUUCUCUAUGCCACCCCGUACCUAGCAGUACACUACAGGAUCAGUUUACUCCAGAGAUCAGAAAGGAUAAAAGCAAAGAAGGAAGGUAGAAGGUAUGAAUAGGGUGGAAGUGUGAAGGGAGAAAACAGUGGUUUCUACCAAUGAUUUGUUCUGUGAUUCAUGGUGUUCUUCUGGCCUCUUCCUACCUUUUUGUUAAAGAAAUGGUUGAGACCAUAAUGAAGAUAGGCUAGAAGGCAUUUCUUUAACAUUUGCAAGAGACUGAGAAUGUGCAGUAACUUGCUUAGUGACUUGCUUUUAUUUUUGGCAUCUUAAUAUACUUCAGAGAAGGAUUUGCUUUAAUGAAAGGUAUGAGAAAUCCUGAAAAGGAAUAUUUUGGAAUGACCUGUUUCCAGAGGUGCUUAGAGUAUAAGUGUUUUUAUCUGUCCUUUAAAAACCCAGCAAAAGAAUUCAGUAAUUUCAGUAUUUCUUGAAAAUGUACACAUGUAAUAUGCAAUAUCUUUUUUUAACAUUCUUCCUAAGUCAUUGUAAAGAAUAUGCCACAGAACUGGGUUUUCUUCUCAAGUCUGGAUCUCAAUAUAUUCCUAAAUAAAAUGUUUAUACAGUUGAA